CGUAGGUGGCAAGCGUUGUCCGGAUUUAUUGGGCGUAAAGCGAGCGCAGGCGGUCUCUUAAGUCUGAUGUGAAAGCCCACGGCUCAACCGUGGAAGGUCAUUGAAAACUGGGGGACUUGAGUACAGAAGAGGAAAGUGGAAUUCCAUGUGUAGCGGUGAAAUGCGUAGAUAUAUGGAGGAACACCAGUGGCGAAGGCGACUUUCUGGUCUGUAACUGACGCUGAGGCUCGAAAGCGUGGGAGCGAACAGGAUU
rnacentral:rRNA from 1 species